rnacentral:rRNA from 1 species
AUUGAACGCUGGCGGCAUGCCUUACACAUGCAAGUCGAACGGUAACGGGCCUUCGGGUGCCGACGAGUGGCGGACGGGUGAGUAAUACAUCGGAACGUGCUCGAUCGUGGGGGAUAACGAGGCGAAAGCUUUGCUAAUACCGCAUACGAUCUACGGAUGAAAGCAGGGGACCGCAAGGCCUUGCGCGGACGGAGCGGCCGAUGGGCGAUUAGGUUGUUGGUGGGAUAAAAGCUUACCAAGCCGACGAUCUGUAGCUGGUCUGAGAGGAUGAUCAGCCACACUGGGACUGAGACACGGCCCAGACUACUGCGGGAGGCAGCAGUGGGGAAUUGUGGACAAUGGGCGCAAGCCUGAUCCAGCCAUGCCGCGUGCAGGAUGAAGGCCUUCGGGUUGUAAACUGCGUUUGUACGGAACGAAAAGCCUUCUUUUAAUACAGGGGGUUCAUGACGGUACCGUAAGAAUAAGCACCGGCUAACUACGUG